ACAUACAUACCAGUACAUACAUACAGUACAUACAUACCAGUACAUACAUACAGUACAUACAUACCAUACAUACAUACCAGUACAUACAUACCAGUACAUACAUACAGUACAUACAUACAGUACAUACAUACAGUACAUACAUACCAGUACAUACAUACAGUACAUACAUACCAGUACAUACAUACAGUACAUACAUACAGUACAUACAUACCAGUACAUACAUACAGUACAUACAUACCAUACAUACAUACAGUACAUACAUACCAGUACAUACAUACCAGUACAUACAUACAGUACACACAGUACAUACAUACCUGUACAUACAUACAGUACAUACAUACAGUACAUACAUACCAGUACAUACAUACCAGUACUACAUACAGUACACACAGUACAUACAUACAGUACACACAGUACAUACAUACAGUAAUACAGUACAUACAUACAUACAUACAGGUGAAUACACAUUAGACACUGAUAAAGGUUAUUGUGCUCCACACAGACGUACAAAAAAACAGUUUCUCUUUAGCUUGUGCAUCAUCGUUCUUUUAGAUGAAAUGUCAGAUAGUGACUUCUCAUCCUGGUGGCAGACACCUGGCUCACAGCCAGGUGCUGUAUUUGUUCUGAUCCCAACAGCCCUUCAGUUACAAGUUAACCCACAGACUGACAGUUAACCCACAGACUGUUAGUUAACCCACAGACUGACAGUUAACCCACAGACUGACAGUUAACCCACAGACUGACAGUUAACCCACAGACUGACAGUUAACCCACAGACUGUUAGUUAACCCACAGACUGACAGUUAACCCACAGACUGACAGUUAACCCACAGACUGACAGUUAGUUAACCCACAGACGGAGAGUUAGUUAACCCACAGACGGAGAGUUAGUUAACCCACAGACGGGCAGUUAGUUAACCCACAGACUGACAGUUAGUUAACCCACAGACUGACAGUUAGUUAACCCACAGACUGACAGUUAACCCACAGACUGACAGUUAACCCACAGACUGACAGUUAACCCACAGAUUGACAGUUAGUUAACCCACAGACUGACAGUUAGUUAACCCACAGACUGACAGUUAGUUAAGCCACAGACUGACAGUUAGUUAACCCACAGACUGACAGUUAACCCACAGACUGACAGUUAGUUAACCCACAGACUGACAGUUAGUUAACCCACAGACUGACAGUUAGUUAACCCACAGACUGACAGUUAGUUAACCCACAGACUGACAGUUAGUUAACCCACAGACUGACAGUUAGUUAACCCACAGACUGACAGUUAGUUAACCCACAGACUGUUAGUUAACCCACAGAUUGACAGUUAACCCACAGAUUGACAGUUAACCCACAGAUUGACAGUUAACCCACAGACUGACAAAGACAACCCCUUAAAAGCUCCAUCGAAUAACCACCACUUCCAGUGUAACAUGAAUAUAGCGUUCAGCCCACAGGCAGCAGGAAGGAAAGUAGAAAGACAAGAAGCCAUUACUGAAAACAAAGCAAGCUCUUCAGGUUGAUUGAAACCCUUCACUUGGAAUAGCAUGCUAUAGAAAUCACAAAGAAAGAAGUAUAAUUGUAACGGUUGUUGGAAGGAGAGGACCAAAGCGCAGCGUGGUACGUGUUCAUAAUUUUAUUAAUGGAACUGAACACUGAAUAGCAAAACAACAACAACAACUGAAACAGUUCUGUCUGGUGCAGACACAAAAACAGAAAGCAACUACCCACAAAAACCCAGUGGGAAAAAGCUACCUAAGUAUGGUUCUCAAUCAGAGACAACGAUAGACAGCUGCCUCUGAUUGAGAACCACACCCGGCUAAAAAACAAAGAAAUGCAAAACAUAGAAAAUGAACAUAGAAUGCCCACCCUAGUCACACCCUGGCCUAACCAAAAUAGAGAAUAAAAGCCUCUCUAUGGCCAGGGCGUGACAAUAAUUAAAGAUGGCUGCCGUAAAUACGUGAAACUGGAGGGCAACGAAGAAAAACCCCAGAGGGAUAAAGAGAGGGUGUGAAGAUGGCGUGAGUGAAAGAAAAAACACCAUGUGACCUGGCCAACAGGAAACGUUUUCUUCCAUGACCAUCCCUCUAUCCAUCCUCUCACUGUAGCGCCUAACAGCACUGAUACGUCCAGCAGGGGUUAAUUUACUGUACAUCCCUAAUGGCACCCUAGUCCAUAUAUAGUGCACUACUUUUGACCAGGGCCCAUAGGGACGCUGCCUUAGGCCGGGAUACAAUCGCUGCAAUCGGGGGAACAUAACAAGAAGUCCCGCUAUGACCUCUGUGGGAACAUUACUUAUCCCAGACAACCAGGAGGCUACAGCUGAGGACAGGAACAUUACUUAUCCCAGACAACCAGGAGGCUACAGCUGAGGACAGGAACAUUACUUACCCCAGACAACCAGGAGGCUACAGCUGAGGACAGGAACAUUACUUAUCCCAGACAACCAGGAGGCUACAGCUGAGGACAGGAACAUUACUUAUCCCAGACAACCCUGUAGCUACAGCUGAGGACAGGAACAUUACUUAUCCCAGACAACCCGGAGGCUACAGCUGAGGACAGGAACAUUACUUAUCCCAGACAACCCGGAGGCUACAGCUGAGGACAGGAACAUUACUUAUCCCAGACAACCCGGAGGCUACGGCUGAGGACAGGAACAUUACUUAUCCCAGACAACUCGGAGGCUACGGCUGAGGACAGGAACAUUACUUAUCCCAGACAACCCUGUAGCUACGGCUGAGGACAGGAACAUUACUUAUCCCAGACAACCCUGGAGCUACGGCUGAGGACAGGAACAUUACUUAUCCCAGACAACCCUGUAGCUACGGCUGAGGACAGGAACAUUACUUAUCCCAGACAACCCUGUAGCUACAGCUGAGGACAGGAACAUUACUUAUCCCAGACAACCCUGUAGCUACAGCUGAGGACAGGAACAUUACUUCACCCAGACAACCCUGUAGCUACAGCUGAGGACAGGAACAUUACUUAUCCCAGACAACCCUGAAGCUACGGCUGACGACAGGAAUAUUACUUAUCCCAGACAACCCUGAAGCUACGGCUGACGACAGUAACAAGUAGAAGAAGUUCCGCUAUGACCACUGCAGUCAUCAGACGAGCAAAAGGACAAUUUAGGUGGAAUCAUAUUUCACAGGCUCUGACGCCCGCAGUAUGUUGCAGGGGCUACAGUCCAUUACGGUUUACAAAGGAAGACCCAGCCGUGAUCUACCCAGCGAUGCCUCUCUACAAGACCAACUCAGUGCAUUUUAUGAACGCUUCAACAAUAACAACAUUUGUGCCGGGUGUGAGGUUUGCCAACCGACCCUGAAGAUUUGGUGAUCUCACUCUCCGAGGCCAAUGUGAGAUUGUCCUCGUUGUCCAAAUCACUAAGGAAUUAACAUGGUCUACACACGCGCACAGUCAUGAAGAAGGAACAACAGCGCCUCUUCCCCCUCAGGAGGUUGAAAAGAUUUGGCAUGGGCCCUCAAAUCCUCAAUAAUUUAUACAGCUGCACCAUCGAGAGCAUCUUGACUGGCUGCAUCACCGCCUGGUAUAGUAAUAGCACCGCCCCUGAUCGCAUGGCGCUACAGAGGGUGGUGCAGCUAGCCCAGUACAUCACUGGGGCCGACCUCUCUGCCAUCCAGGACCAAAAUAUCAGGUGGUGUGAAAGGAAGGCCCGGAAAAGCGUCAACGACUCCAGCCAACCCAUAGACUGUUCUCUCUGCUUCCGCACGGUACCGGUGCAUGAAAUCUGACACCAACAGGCCCCUGAACAGUUUCUAUCCCCAAGCCAUACGACCGCUGAACAACACAGACUAUCUGAGUUGACCCUUGUGGUUUAUUUUUUUCACUGUCUCUAUGCACACUGACAGGGCCCUGCACAGUCACACACACUGACAGGGCCCUGCACAGUCACACACACUGACAGGGCCCUGCACAGUCACACACACUGACAGGGCCCUGCACAGUCACACACACUGACAGGGGCCUGCACAGUCACACACACUGACAGGGCCCUGCACAGUCACACACACUGACAGGGCCCUGCACAGUCACACACACUGACAGGGCCCUG
ensembl:lncRNA